AUUGAACGCUGGCGGAAUGCUUUACACAUGCAAGUCGAACGGCAGCACGGGGGCAACCCUGGUGGCGAGUGGCGAACGGGUGAGUAAUACAUCGGAACGUGCCCAGUCGUGGGGGAUAACUACGCGAAAGCGUAGCUAAUACCGCAUACGAUCUACGGAUGAAAGCGGGGGAUCGCAAGACCUCGCGCGAUUGGAGCGGCCGAUGGCAGAUUAGGUAGUUGGUGAGGUAAAGGCUCACAAAGCCUGCGAUCUGUAGCUGGUCUGAGAGGAUGACCAGCAACACGGGGACUGAGACACGGGCCAGCCUCCUACGGGAGGCAGCAGUGGGGAAUUUUGGACAAUGGGCGCAAGCCUGAUCCAGCCAUUCCGCGUGCAGGAUGAAGGCCCUCGGGUUGUAAACUGCUUUUGUACGGAACGAAACGCGCUGAGUUAAUACCUCGGCGUAAUGACGGUACCGUAAGAAUAAGCACCGGCUAACUACGUGCCAGCAGCCGCGGUAAUAC
rnacentral:rRNA from 1 species